rnacentral:rRNA from 1 species
GGGGAAUAUUGGACAAUGGGCGAAAGCCUGAUCCAGCCAUGCCGCGUGUGUGAAGAAGGUCUUCGGAUUGUAAAGCACUUUAAGUUGGGAGGAAGGGCAGUAAGUUAAUACCUUGCUGUUUUGACGUUACCAACAGAAUAAGCACCGGCUAACUUCGUGCCAGCAGCCGCGGUAAUACGAAGGGUGCAAGCGUUAAUCGGAAUUACUGGGCGUAAAGCGCGCGUAGGUGGUUCAGCAAGUUGGAUGUGAAAUCCCCGGGCUCAACCUGGGAACUGCAUCCAAAACUACUGAGCUAGAGUACGGUAGAGGGUGGUGGAAUUUCCUGUGUAGCGGUGAAAUGCGUAGAUAUAGGAAGGAACACCAGUGGCGAAGGCGGCCACCUGGACUGAUACUGACACUGAGGUGCGAAAGCGUGGGGAGCAAAC